AUGGAGAAACUUUGUGACUGUUGCAAGAGAUAUGCGGACCAUUUGGAUGAAAAGAUGAAGUGUUUCCGCAGGCACGUGGGUGCUGAUUUUAGACAUGGCAUGAUCAUACCAAAGAAGUUCAUAGAUAAUUUCGGGGGAAAGAUCUCAAGAACCAUCGAACUAGAAUCUUCUAAUGGUAAUAUGUAUGUCUUUGAAGUUUCCAAGCGCAUGGGUAAUACAGUCCUCCACCGUGGAUGGCAGGCAUUUAUAGAUGAACAUCACAUAGAAGAGAAUGAUUCAUUGUUGUUUCGUCACAUUGAGAAAUCCCGUUUUGAGGUUCUGGUCCUUGAUUCUGAUGAUUGUGAAAAGGUGUUCUUCUGCCCUGGCAUCAACAUUGUUAAUAAUGUUGAAGAAAGAGGUGCGGAUUCUGUUAAUAUUUCAAAUAGCUCCCGUGAUUAUGCCACAAGAUCAUCAGGAAGCAAAAGGUUUGCUACGUGUGGAAGGGGUAACUCAAGCCAUCCUAGAAAAGCAGCGAAGACAACCUUAAAUUACUCCUCACCUGAGAAUUCAGGAGAAGACACUGAGAACGAAAAUACAGACGCAAUAUACUCAUCGUCUGAGGAUUCAGGAGAAGAAACUGAGCCUGCAAAUACAGACAUAGAAUACUCCUCAUCUGGGGAUUCAGAAGAAGGCACUGAGGACAUUCCUUCGGAACACGAAUCAUCCUUUGAGCUAGAUGAUGGCCACACACCUUCACGGCAAGAUUAUGUCUUAGCUCGGGGAAGAACUCUAUCCAGAGUACAGGAUGAGAAAGUAACUACGCUUAUCCAGGAUGUUGGAGCUGAAAUUCCUGUGUUCGUGGCUGUCAUGAAGCCGAGCUAUGUCAAGUCACAAACUUCUGCUCUUGUCAUUCCCAAAGGCUAUGCAGUUGAACACUUCCCACCUAAAAGUCAAACUGUGACACUGCAGCGCCCAGGCAAGAGCAAGAAGUGGCAUCCCAGAUUGCACAUUAGGAAAGAUAAACGCGGGGCCAUCCUUUGUGGGCCUGGUUGGUUAGACUUUGUUCGCGACACUCAAGUACAGGUGGGAGAUAUCUGCAUCUUUGAAAGAAUGAAGAAGGGCACUGGAAGAACAUUCUCAUCACUUAGAGUACAUCUACUUCGCAAAUCAAUGCUUCAUUCCGGUGGAAGCGGAACUGGUCCUAAAAGAGUAAGCUCAACUCAUGGCAAAACAAGGGUUAAUUCAGCUACCCCUAAAAGAGCAAGCACAACUGAUGGUAGAACCAGGGCAAAGGCAACUUCGACAACCAAUGUUAGGAAGGAACCAGGAGGAAAUGAGCCUUCUUCGGUUCACAGCCAUGGUCACGAAGCACGUCAGGGGCCUGUCGAGUCUAAUAAAUCCAGAGGGCCUCGGAAACGUCCCUACAUAAUAUCAUCCACUGCAUGUCUGACCAGGGAGCAGGAGAUGUAUGUCGACAAGAGAGCUCGCUCCCUUCAGUCCGAUGUUCCCAUUUAUGCGUCAGUAAUGAACAAGAGCAGUGUUGGUGACAACAGCCUGUAUGCCGUAACUAUUUGCAGGAACUAUGCUGCUGAGUAUCUACCAGCUGGAGCGCAGACUGUGACACUCCUGAGGGCAGAGAAGAGCAAGACAUGGGAAAUCAAGGUGAACCCGAGGAUUGGCGACGCGAAGAUGCUCAGGGCAGGUUGGCGUGAGUUUGCCCACGACAACCAUCUGAAACUCAAAGACAUAUGUCUGUUCCAGCUGAUGACGGACCAGAGGAAGCUUACGAUGAUGGUCGACAUCAUUCGUCACAAUGAGAAGCGUUAG
rnacentral:rRNA from 1 species